GACGAACGCUGGCGGCGUGCUUAACACAUGCAAGUCGAGCGGACAGGCCCUGCUCUUGUGGGUUGCUCGAGUGGCGAGCGGGUGAGUAACACGUGAGUAACCUGCCCUUGUCUUUGGGGUAUCUUCAGGGAACUGGGGCUAAUACCGGAUAGGAGCUCCUGCUGCAUGGUGGGGGUUGGAAAGUUUCGGCGGUUGGGGAUGGACUCGCGGCUUCUCAGCUUGUUGGUGGGGUAGUGGCUUUCCAGGCCUUCGACGGGUAGCCGGCAUGGGAGGGUGACCGGCCACAUGAGGACUGAGAUACGGAGCAGACGCCAACGGGAGGCAGCAGGCGGGAAUAUGGCACAAUGGCCGGAAGCCUGAUGCAGCAACGCCGCGUGCGGGAUGCCGGCCUUCGGGGGGUAAACCGCUGUCGACUGAGACGAAGCGGGAGUGACGGUAAUGGGUAAAGAAGCACCGGCUAACUACGUG
rnacentral:rRNA from 1 species